rnacentral:rRNA from 1 species
GGGUUGUGAGGUUAAGCGACUAAGCGUACACGGUGGAUGCCCUGGCAGUCAGAGGCGAUGAAGGACGUGCUAAUCUGCGAUAAGCGCCGGUAAGGUGAUAUGAACCGUUAUAACCGGCGAUUUCCGAAUGGGGAAACCCAGUGUGAUUCGUCACACUAUCAUUAACUGAAUCCAUAGGUUAAUGAGGCGAACCGGGGGAACUGAAACAUCUAAGUACCCCGAGGAAAAGAAAUCAACCGAGAUUCCCCCAGUAGCGGCGAGCGAACGGGGAGGAGCCCAGAGCCUGAAUCAGCAUGUGUGUUAGUGGAAGCGUCUGGAAAGGCGCGCGAUACAGGGUGACAGCCCCGUACACAAAAGCGCAUGUGCUGUGAGCUCGAUGAGUAGGGCGGGACACGUGGUAUCCUGUCUGAAUAUGGGGGGACCAUCCUCCAAGGCUAAAUACUCCUGACUGACCGAUAGUGAACCAGUACCGUGAGGGAAAGGCGAAAAGAACCCCGGCGAGGGGAGUGAAAAAGAACCUGAAACCGUGUACGUACAAGCAGUGGGAGCACAGGUUUACCUGUGUGACUGCGUACCUUUUGUAUAAUGGGUCAGCGACUUAUAUUCUGUAGCAAGGUUAACCGUAUAGGGGAGCCGUAGGGAAACCGAGUCUUAACCGGGCGUUAAGUUGCAGGGUAUAGACCCGAAACCCGGUGAUCUAGCCAUGGGCAGGUUGAAGGUUGGGUAACACUAACUGGAGGACCGAACCGACUAAUGUUGAAAAAUUAGCGGAUGACCUGUGGCUGGGGGUGAAAGGCCAAUCAAACCGGGAGAUAGCUGGUUCUCCCCGAAAGCUAUUUAGGUAGCGCCUCGUGAAUUCAUCUCCGGGGGUAGAGCACUGUUUCGGCUAGGGGGUCAUCCCGGCUUACCAACCCGAUGCAAACUGCGAAUACCGGAGAAUGUUAUCACGGGAGACACACGGCGGGUGCUAACGUCCGUCGUGAAGAGGGAAACAACCCAGACCGCCAGCUAAGGUCCCAAAGUCAUGGUUAAGUGGGAAACGAUGUGGGAAGGCCCAGACAGCCAGGAUGUUGGCUUAGAAGCAGCCAUCAUUUAAAGAAAGCGUAAUAGCUCACUGGUCGAGUCGGCCUGCGCGGAAGAUGUAACGGGGCUAAACCAUGCACCGAAGCUGCGGCAGCGACACUGUGUGUUGUUGGGUAGGGGAGCGUUCUGUAAGCCUGUGAAGGUGGCCUGUGAGGGUUGCUGGAGGUAUCAGAAGUGCGAAUGCUGACAUAAGUAACGAUAAAGCGGGUGAAAAGCCCGCUCGCCGGAAGACCAAGGGUUCCUGUCCAACGUUAAUCGGGGCAGGGUGAGUCGACCCCUAAGGCGAGGCCGAAAGGCGUAGUCGAUGGGAAACGGGUUAAUAUUCCCGUACUUGGUGUUACUGCGAAGGGGGGACGGAGAAGGCUAUGUUGGCCGGGCGACGGUUGUCCCGGUUUAAGCGUGUAGGUGUGUGUUCCAGGUAAAUCCGGUUCACUUUAACACUGAGGCGUGACGACGAGGCACUACGGUGCUGAAGCAACAAAUGCCCUGCUUCCAGGAAAAGCCUCUAAGCAUCAGGUAACAUCAAAUCGUACCCCAAACCGACACAGGUGGUCAGGUAGAGAAUACCAAGGCGCUUGAGAGAACUCGGGUGAAGGAACUAGGCAAAAUGGUGCCGUAACUUCGGGAGAAGGCACGCUGACACGUAGGUGAAGUGAUUUACUCAUGGAGCUGAAGUCAGUCGAAGAUACCAGCUGGCUGCAACUGUUUAUUAAAAACACAGCACUGUGCAAACACGAAAGUGGACGUAUACGGUGUGACGCCUGCCCGGUGCCGGAAGGUUAAUUGAUGGGGUCAGCGCAAGCGAAGCUCCUGAUCGAAGCCCCGGUAAACGGCGGCCGUAACUAUAACGGUCCUAAGGUAGCGAAAUUCCUUGUCGGGUAAGUUCCGACCUGCACGAAUGGCGUAAUGAUGGCCAGGCUGUCUCCACCCGAGACUCAGUGAAAUUGAACUCGCUGUGAAGAUGCAGUGUACCCGCGGCAAGACGGAAAGACCCCGUGAACCUUUACUAUAGCUUGACACUGAACAUUGAGCCUUGAUGUGUAGGAUAGGUGGGAGGCUUUGAAGUGUGGACGCCAGUCUGCAUGGAGCCGACCUUGAAAUACCACCCUUUAAUGUUUGAUGUUCUAACGUGGACCCGUAAUCCGGGUUGCGGACAGUGUCUGGUGGGUAGUUUGACUGGGGCGGUCUCCUCCUAAAGAGUAACGGAGGAGCACGAAGGUUGGCUAAUCCUGGUCGGACAUCAGGAGGUUAGUGCAAUGGCAUAAGCCAGCUUGACUGCGAGCGUGACGGCGCGAGCAGGUGCGAAAGCAGGUCAUAGUGAUCCGGUGGUUCUGAAUGGAAGGGCCAUCGCUCAACGGAUAAAAGGUACUCCGGGGAUAACAGGCUGAUACCGCCCAAGAGUUCAUAUCGACGGCGGUGUUUGGCACCUCGAUGUCGGCUCAUCACAUCCUGGGGCUGAAGUAGGUCCCAAGGGUAUGGCUGUUCGCCAUUUAAAGUGGUACGCGAGCUGGGUUUAGAACGUCGUGAGACAGUUCGGUCCCUAUCUGCCGUGGGCGCUGGAGAACUGAGGGGGGCUGCUCCUAGUACGAGAGGACCGGAGUGGACGCAUCACUGGUGUUCGGGUUGUCAUGCCAAUGGCACUGCCCGGUAGCUAAAUGCGGAAGAGAUAAGUGCUGAAAGCAUCUAAGCACGAAACUUGCCCCGAGAUGAGUUCUCCCUGAGACUUAGAGUCUCCUGAAGGAACGUUGAAGACGACGACGUUGAUAGGCCGGGUGUGUAAGCGCAGCGAUGCGUUGAGCUAACCGGUACUAAUGAACCGUGAGGCUUAACCUUACAACGCCGAAG